CUAUAAGUGAAUAUACAGGGAGAAGCUCACAGAUUCAAAUCACUGAUAUUUUCAGUGUGGUUUGCACAACACAACCACCUAAUUCUUCAUGCAGUUACAUUUACAACACAGAACAAAAACAACCACUUUAAAGUUUCCUGUUCUUUUACUAUUCAACACCAUUAAACACAAACUUAGAUGAAUGUAGAGACCAGUGCAGCGUAGCGCAACGCUGAAAUGUUGAGAAGUCAUUAAAAAACUGUGUUCAGCUGUAACAGUCAGCGAGGAAACUUAAAUAUUAAGAAGUACAAAUGUGCUUGCCACAACAACGGCAAUACAGCUCCAGUAGUCAGGGAUUGAAUGCAGACUAUUGGGCAGUGUUUCAAUGUUCAAGUCAAUGGGACAAAAGUCAGAGAUCUGGUCAAUGCAAAUCUAUUCUUAAUAUAUCACAAGCAGUAGUCCAGUAAAUAAGAAACACCAGCUGUGUGUCAAACAGGAGAUUCACUGGCAAGGUGACACCUUCUUCAGAUUCCAUUCCAGAAAUCAGAAAUUCUAAAUUUUAUAUAUAUUAAAUUACAUAAAAAAGGUAAUAUAUCUAUAAAAAGGUACUAUAUCUCGGUAUACCCAAGCAGUAUUCGUUCUGGUGUUGUAUAUCUAGUGAGUGGAAGUAUGACGUCUAAACAAUCAGGAGAAGUGGAAGAAGAAGAAAUGGAGCAGCAACAUGAUCUUGACCCAUUUCUGAGCUCUUUGGCAGCAGCUACUGUAGAAGAUGCAGGAACCGACCACAUGAAGCUAUGGAUGGGGCUGCUGGAGAGAGAGUGGAGCAGACGAGAGUUUGCCGUGGAGCAGGCCGGCUGGAGACGCCUCCACAGCGUGUCAUUUGAAAACGAGAGAGCAACCUCCGAGCCAGACAGCGACGAGGUGCUGAAAUACGAACCUGUGGCUCCUCAUACGAGCGGCACCAGUUCAGGCUGUGAGACGCUAUCGAUCAGCGGAGAAGCAGAGCAGGAGACGGCCCGGAUAAACUGAUUUAUUGGGCUUCAUUCUGCCAGCGUGAUUGAGACUUAAUCAAUGGGAAAUAUCAUUUUAUUGAAUACAAUCAAGAGGAAAAUAAUCAGCACUGAUGAGCUUGCAGCUGAUUAGACUACACUGAUUAGACUCUUCUGUCUGCUGAAACAAUACCAACACCUUUUUUUAACUGCAGAUUACUCGUGCUUUAAUAAUUAUUAUAUCAAUGAAAAAAAAGCAAAAGUUCACUUGGAUGUCCUCCCACGUUACAAAAAGAGCACAGUUUCUUUCUAAGUUCAACCAAUUAAGACCAUUUCUGGAUGAAAGCUUCUGAUAAUUCACAUCCUCAGCUGGGAAAAAUGCUGGUUUUAAACUCCAAUAAAUUGAGUUUUUAAAAAAAGAACAUCGGUAAAAGAUAACAAUGUGCUAUUAAUCUGACAAAGAGAACCAAACACUCACUUAUUGACACUGUUUACUCCUUUCCUUGUGAGAAUCUGUAAACUGGAGAUGUAUGCUAAGCUGGUGGAGAAUGUAUAUGCUAAAUAUUAGACAGUAAGAUCUUUACUUUUCCUGCAGAAAUCCAGGAUUUUCAAAGCUGUGCAUGCCUGUUUGCAGUGUAUGUAUUGGAAUAAAGAUGCGUUCAUCAACUCUCAUUAAAGUGAGCAUGCAAAUGUUGUCGUUAAAUAAUAAAUCCAACCUUGAAAGGCUGUUAUCAUACAAAUAAACUGGAUUGGAUUUUCA